rnacentral:rRNA from 1 species
AGUGAACGCUGGCGGUAGGCCUAACACAUGCAAGUCGAACGGCAGCACAGUAAGAGCUUGCUCUUACGGGUGGCGAGUGGCGGACGGGUGAGGAAUACAUCGGAAUCUACUUUUUCGUGGGGGAUAACGUAGGGAAACUUACGCUAAUACCGCAUACGACCUACGGGUGAAAGCAGGGGAUCUUCGGACCUUGCGCGAUUGAAUGAGCCGAUGUCGGAUUAGCUAGUUGGGGGGGUAAAGGCCCACCAAGGCGACGAUCCGUAGCUGGUCUGAGAGGGUGGUCCGCCCAACCGGGAAUUGGAACAGGUCCAGAACCCCAAGGGGAGGAAGAGUAGGGGAAUAUUGGACAAUGGGGGCAGGCUUGAGGCGGCCAGCCGGGUGAGGUGUAAAAGUCUUUCGGGUUGUAAAGCCCUUUUGUUGGGAAAAAAAAGCGGGAAGGUAAUACCGCGCUGUUCGGCCGGUACCCAAAGGAUAAGCACCGGCUAACUUCGU